CGCGUGAGGAACCUGCCUCAAAGAGGGGGACAACAGUUGGAAACGACUGCUAAUACCGCAUAAGCCCACGGGUCGGCAUCGACCAGAGGGAAAAGGAGCAAUCCGCUUUGAGAUGGCCUCGCGUCCGAUUAGCUAGUUGGUGAGGUAAUGGCCCACCAAGGCAACGAUCGGUAGCCGGACUGAAAGGUUGAACGGCCACAUUGGGACUGAGACACGGCCCAGACUCCUACGGGAGGCAGCAGUGGGGAAUAUUGCACAAUGGGGGAAACCCUGAUGCAGCGACGCCGCGUGGAGGAAGAAGGUCUUCGGAUUGUAAACUCCUGUUGUUGAGGAAGAUAAUGACGGUACUCAACAAGGAAGUGACGGCUAACUACGUGCCAGCAGCCGCGGUAAAACGUAGGUCACAAGCGUUGUCCGGAAUUACUGGGUGUAAAGGGAGCGCAGGCGGGAAGACAAGUUGGAAGUGAAAUCUAUGGGCUCAACCCAUAAACUGCUUUCAAAACUGUUUUUCUUGAGUAGUGCAGAGGUAGGCGGAAUUCCCGGUGUAGCGGUGGAAUGCG
rnacentral:rRNA from 1 species